GAUGAACGCUAGCUACAGGCUUAACACAUGCAAGUCGCGGGGCGGCAUGGGGGUUGCUUGCAAUCCCCGAUGGCGACCGGCGCACGGGUGAGUAACGCGUAUCCAACCUGCCCUUCACCACGGGAUAACCCGGCGAAAGUCGGACUAAUACCGUAUGUUGUCCAUUGACGGCAUCCGAUUUGGACGAAAGGUUUGGCGGUGAAGGAUGGGGAUGCGUCCGAUUAGCUGGACGGCGGGGUGACGGCCCACCGUGGCGACGAUCGGUAGGGGUUCUGAGAGGAAGGUCCCCCACACUGGAACUGAGACACGGUCCAGACUCCUACGGGAGGCAGCAGUGAGGAAUAUUGGUCAAUGGGCGUAAGCCUGAACCAGCCAAGUAGCGUGCAGGAUGACGGCCCUAUGGGUUGUAAGCUGCUUUUAUGCGGGGAUAAAGUGGCCCACGUGUGGGUUUUUGCAGGUACCGCAUGAAUAAGGACCGGCUAAUUCCGUG
rnacentral:rRNA from 1 species